UGGUGGUUGGCUCAGUGGAAAGAGCAUGGGCUUGGGAGUCAGAGGUCAUGGGUUCGAAUCCCACUCUGCCAC
rnacentral:tRNA from 1 species